GUAACCAGACUCCAUCCAAGUUUCUACGACAGUCGACCGCCUUUCGGAUCUCAACCGAGCUCCCACGAGAGCCGAACUUCUACUACGAGCGGUCUACUCCAAAUUCUUAUAGCGGGCUGCCUACCCCAGAUAUCUACUAUAAGAAAAUACCAUUCGAGCCUCUACUGUAAACAAAUUUCUUCCGAACUUCUAUUACAGGUAGACUUCAGCCGAGCUUCUUCGUAGUCGGAUCCCAGACGAGCUUCUACCAUGGGCAGGAUCCACCGGCCAGGUCGUUACUCUGAGCUCCCACGACAACCGAUCUUCGAUCGAGCUCCUACAAUAAGCGACCUCCUUUCAGCCUCCCA
rnacentral:lncRNA from 1 species